rnacentral:rRNA from 1 species
UGACCCUAUAAGGUUCCUGAAGGAACGUUGAAGACGACGACGUUGAUAGGCCGGGUGUGUAAGCGCAGCGAUGCGUUGAGCUAACCGGUACUAAUGAACCGUGAGGCUUAACCUUACAACGCCGAAG